rnacentral:rRNA from 1 species
UACGGAGGGAGCUAGCGUUGUUCGGAAUUACUGGGCGUAAAGCGCACGUAGGCGGCUUUGUAAGUCAGAGGUGAAAGCCUGGAGCUCAACUCCAGAACUGCCUUUGAGACUGCGAGGCUUGAAUCCAGGAGAGGUGAGUGGAAUUCCGAGUGUAGUGGUGAAAUUCGUAGAUAUUCGGAAGAACACCAGUGGCGAAGGCGGCUCACUGGACUGGUAUUGACGCUGAGGUGCGAAAGCGUGGGGAGCAAACAGG